AUAUGCAAUGUAUAUAUGCAUAUAUACAUCUUUUUUGUGUUUUUUUCUCUCCAUUACAACAACAUACAUAUCAAAAUCUUAAAGGCCUAUAUAAUAUGCAAUAUUAAUAUCAUUUACUAGUUAAGCAUAACCCACCCAAUUCAUUGCAAAACUAUCAAAUACUUUUUCAAAUUUCAUUCUUUAUUUCUUUCUCUGAUGCCAGAAAAAUUUUAAUUGUUCUUGGAAAUUUAAUAUUUUCUGUUUGAAUCAAAUGUUUCUCCCAGCAGUCUAACCCUGAACAGUAGGUUGGGCAAAGUUGGACACAAUUUUCAAGCUUGAAUUUGAAUUAUUGAUCAAAGAUCAUACAAAUUUGAAGUUGGACAUCUAAUUUUUAAGUAUUAUGGUCUGAUAUCUAAAAUCUUACAACAUGGUAAGAUUCAGCACAUAAAACAACACCAAAAAUUAUAUUUUGAUUGAAAUCAAACCCUUAUAUAUAAACUAAUUUGAAAACAGGGCCCAAAAUAAAAAAUCUAAAUGCACAAUAAGAUUCAGCAUAUCAUAGAACCACAAUGAUUCAGUUUUUGAUGAAAUAUAACAAAUUUUAAUUUUGGACCCUUUUGACCUAAAUGUAGACCAAUUUUAAAAUGGGGCCCCAAUAUCUAAAAAGGUAAUUCAAGGUUACAUAAUGAAUUAAAAGAUCCCCCCCCCAAAAAAUUUUUUGUCCCCCCCUCCCCCACACAUUUUCUUUUUGAAUUUGAAAUUUUGAAUAUUCUUGAAGAAAAAUGUAUGAACCCCCAUAAAAAAAUUAUUCCCCCCUCCCCAAAAAAUUAAAUGUCCACCAAAAUGCAAGUGGCCCCUCUGCAUUUGGGAUGCUUCUAUUGCUCUGGGAAUUUGUAGGCAAACACUUUUUAAUAAUAUCAUACCAUUACAACUUCUGUGAAUUCAUUUAUUUUUGUGGGAACCAAUUUUACGGAAUGGAGGAAACUUGCAUUUUUGUGGAUAUUUUAUUUUGUGGUUUUGUUAAAGUCUGUUCAUAUUUUUAUAGAAAAUUAUAAUUUGUUGUACAUUGGAAUUCAUGGUUCCUGGGUAACCUUAAAAAUUUGUAUACAAGGAAUAAUAAUGAAUUCAUAGUUAGUACUUAGAUUUGAAGUUAUUUGUUCAGAGCAGGAUUUACAUAAUGUCAUUUCCUAAAUUUACACAAAUGGUUAUUGCCCAUUUCAUAACUUUUGACCAAAUGAUCUCAAUACAGGGGGAGAUACUUAAUUAUGUCAGGGGGAUAACUUUUGACCAAAUGAUAUCAAUACAGGAGGAGAUAAUUAAUUAUGUCAGGGGGAUAACUUUUGACCAAAUGAUAUCAAUACAGGGGGAGAUACAUUGUAAUUAAAAUUAAUAUUUCAGCUUAAUAGACGGUCAAAAUUUAUGAAGUGUUAUUUUUAUAUUUCUGCAAAUGUAGCACCUUCUCAUGUAAUUAAACAUAUAAAUAUAUAUUUCUGGGCUGAAUUUUUAGUUUUUGCAAAAGUGGCCAUCCAAUGUAAUUAAAUAUAUAAAAGAGGGUCAUAUUUGCUUUUUUAAGUUAGUCAUAAGACAGAAAGCACCUAAAAUGAUUACAUAUAAAUUAUGCAUAAAAAAUAUUGAUGAUUUUUAAGAUUCAACCUUACCCUUUACUUUUGUUCUUGGUGAAAAUAUAAAGAUUUUGUACUAAACUAUUAAAUUUGUAUACAAUUGGGAAUAGAUGUCAGAUGUACAGCAAUUAGUCAGCAACUAAACAAAACACAAUACAUGGCCAAAUUCAUGUCAGAUGUACAGCAAUUAGUCAGCAACUAAACAACACAAUACAUGAUUCAUGUCAGAUUACAGAUUAGUCAGCAACUAAACAAAACACAUACAGAUUCGUCAGAUGUACAGCAAUUAGUCAGCAACUAAACAAAACACAAUACAUGACCAAAUUCAUUUCUGACCUGCUCUUAUCAAAGCAAAAAUUAUACAACAUAAAAGCUAUAAUAAUAUGUCUAAACCAGUUCUUACAUAAAGAAAUUAACAAAGUCUUAUCUGCUGUAACUUUCUAUACAUGAAGACAAAAAAUAAGAAAAAAACAAAACUAGAGGCUCUAAAGAGCCUGUGUCGCUCACCUUGGUCUAUGAGAAUAUUAAAGGAAGCAGAUGGAUUCAUGACAAAAUUGUAUUUUGGUGAUGGUGAUGUGUUUGUACAUCUUACUUUACUGAACAUUCUUGCUGCUUAAAAUAAU
rnacentral:lncRNA from 1 species